rnacentral:rRNA from 1 species
GGUUAAGUUAGAAAGGGCGCACGGUGGAUGCCUUGGCACUAGGAGCCGAUGAAGGACGGGACGAACACCGAUAUGCUUCGGGGAGCUGUAAGCAAGCUUUGAUCCGGAGAUUUCCGAAUGGGGAAACCCACCACUCGUAAUGGAGUGGUAUCCAUAUCUGAAUUCAUAGGAUAUGAGAAGGCAGACCCGGGGAACUGAAACAUCUAAGUACCCGGAGGAAGAGAAAGCAAAUGCGAUUCCCUGAGUAGCGGCGAGCGAAACGGGAUUAGCCCAAACCAAGAGGCUUGCCUCUGGGGUUGUAGGACACUCUGUACGGAGUUACAAAGGAACGAGGUAGAUGAAGAGGUCUGGAAAGGCCCGCCAUAGGAGGUAACAGCCCUGUAGUCAAAACUUCGUUCUCUCCUGAGUGGAUCCUGAGUACGGCGGAACACGUGAAAUUCCGUCGGAAUCCGGGAGGACCAUCUCCCAAGGCUAAAUACUCCCUAGUGACCGAUAGUGAACCAGUACCGUGAGGGAAAGGUGAAAAGCACCCCGGAAGGGGAGUGAAAGAGAUCCUGAAACCGUGUGCCUACAAGUAGUCAGAGCCCGUUAACGGGUGAUGGCGUGCCUUUUGUAGAAUGAACCGGCGAGUUACGAUCUCGUGCAAGGUUAAGCAGAAGAUGCGGAGCCGCAGCGAAAGCGAGUCUGAAUAGGGCGCAUGAGUACGUGGUCGUAGACCCGAAACCAGGUGAUCUACCCAUGUCCAGGGUGAAGUUCAGGUAACACUGAAUGGAGGCCCGAACCCACGCACGUUGAAAAGUGCGGGGAUGAGGUGUGGGUAGGGGUGAAAUGCCAAUCGAGCCUGGAGAUAGCUGGUUCUCUCCGAAAUAGCUUUAGGGCUAGCCUCAAGGUAAGAGUCUUGGAGGUAGAGCACUGAUUGGACUAGGGGCCCCUACCGGGUUACCGAAUUC